rnacentral:lncRNA from 1 species
CUGAGUGCUAAACACUUUGAAGACCUAUCUCAUUUUGUCCUUAAAACCAUCCUUGAUCCUUUCUAAGAGGUGCUGAAAGCCAACGUAUCCAGAUGAGAAGGAGCCUGACUAGGGCGGCUUUGUGCUGUAUCACACCAGUCCCCAUGGCUUCUCCUUGGACAAUUGAGAAAAGCCUGUACUCAGGUUCUGUGCUAAGGGCUCGCCUGUCACCACUCCUGUCCUCCAGCACUUCAGGCCGCUGGGAGACAGUUGGUUUUUCUAUUCAUUUUCCUCCCACCUCCUGUCUGCAAGGCCGCAGCAUAAAGCACGGGCAGGCAAAGCUCUGGAAUCAGCAGGCUGGGCCCAGUGUGUAGGCCCAGGAAUGUGUAGCUUCCACUGGCGUGUACUGGAACCCCCCCAGAGCCUGCGGCCACUUUCCCACUGUCAGGGCUGCCUGUGGAUGUAUCA